ensembl:ncRNA lncRNA:CR44749 long non-coding RNA:CR44749
UACAGCGAACCAGCAAAUAGAGGCACUCUCUUCGACCGACUGAGUGUGUUGGUGAGCUGUGUAAAAUACACGCGAGUAAAGUGCGUGUAAAAUGUGACAUAAUCAAAUGUGACGCAUUCACACACACACACACACACACAACCGGUGUAUGUGCUGAAUAAAUUCUCAGGAGAAGAGAAAACCGAGACUCUGAAACCGGACGACGAACGACAACAAAACGCACGACUGUUGUUGCUUUUGCUUAUCAACUUUGCCAGUUUAUUCGCAGCAUAUCAACACCCUACCCGAAUUCGCAAGUCGGGCUUAACUGUUCUUGUAGACCCUUCGCCUGUUACCUUCAAAAUGACAACCAAUACCCGAUACUGACACAAACUGUAGAAAUAUUUUAGUUUCGUAAUUAGAAUCUAGUCACAAACAGUUUAUUUUGAUUAACUAAAAAAUUGUAAAUAACAAAAUGAUAUUUUCAAAUAAAUUUGAUCUAAUAAACUUACUUUCAUGGUAGUGGUGGGAUCACAUUAUCAUAUCUAAAAAUUACGCACCAUAAAAGUUUU